rnacentral:misc_RNA from 1 species
GGAAGGAUCAUUAACACGUGAAAACGUAUUAACUAAUCUACCUUAAAACAACCUGUGAAUUUCACCCCUACCUAUUCAGCAAGUGCUGAGUCCAUAUGGUAUGUUGUAGGCUAUGAGGCAACUCAUAGGCAACUGUGUGGACUCUGAGGUAUCAAAACCUGAGGCAUCUGUUAGAUAGGCUUUUUUCAUAUUGCCCCUACAACACAAUAGUCAAACCAACCAGUGUCACCCUAAAAACAACUGUCUGAUGUACGCCUAAUGGGUCAGAAAUGACCGGAUAGGUACCAUUUAUUCUAACUAAGCACAACUCUUAGCAAUGGAUAUCUUGGUUCUCGCAACGAUGAAGAACGCAGCGAAAUGCGAUAUGUAAUGCGAAUUGCAGAAUUCAGUGAAUCAUCAAAUCUUUGAACGCAAAUGGCGGUCUCGGGAUAGACCUGGGACCACGCCUCUCUGAGUAUCGGUUCAACCUACACUUGCCUGCGUAUUAAAUUUCGGUUUAGUAUGCGUUGGCAGAUAAUGAGAGUCAAAGCUUUGCAGCUUCGUCUCUUGAAAUGUAUUGAGCUUCGAUCUCCUAGUAUGUGCUCUGCAAGGAGCGCUAGCCUGUGUGGCUUUUAUUCAACUAGUGACGUGGAUAACAUCACGUAGUGAUACGAAACGUCUAUGCUAGUUGGGUAGAGUUAUAGUUAUACAGUGCGAAAGUACCGGGUCGAUCGAACGCGUUUGAAUUGAAACCGUAGUGUGUGUAUGCGGCGCAAGCUGUGUAUGUGUACUACGUAUUGACAUUAGAUCUCAGAUGAAGCGAGAAGACCCCCUGAAUUUAAGCAUAUUAAUAAGGGGAGGAAAAGAAACUAACAAGGAUUCCCCCAGUAACGGCGAGUGAAGCGGGAUGAGCUCAAUAUGAAAAUCGUGAACCCAGGCGGGUUUUCGAAUUGUAGCCUAGAGACGUGUGAUCAGCGAUGGCCCAGGUAUAAGUCCUUUGGAAGAAUGCAUCAGCGAGGGUGAGAAUCCCGUGUUUGACCUGGAGUCCGUCGCGUACGAUGCAUGUUCAUCGAGUCGAGUUGUUUGGGAUUGCAGCUCUAAAUGGGUGGUAAGUUUCAUCUAAAGCUAAAUAUUGGCGAGAGACCGAUAGCGAACAAGUACCGUGAGGGAAAGAUGAAAAGAACUUUGAAAAGAGAGUUAAAUCAGUACUUGAAAUUGCUAAGAGGGAACGGCUGAACACCAGUGCUGCUGGUUGCCAUUUUUGCUGUGGGUCGACGAACAGAAUUUUUUCAGUUGGUAACUCUGGAAGGGUUCUGCAGAAAUCGGUCUGUAGUACUGUGGUGAUUGGCGUGUCAAAAUCGAUUCGACCUGCGGGAGAAGGCAUGUAGGAAGGUAGGGUGUUUCGGCACCUGUUAUAGCCUAUAUGUUCUACUGUGGGAUGGAUCGAGGAUCAAUGUUGCGCCUGCUGGCUUGGAACGAUGCUCCAGAUGUGGACAUGGUGCGUGGAUAACAAUGUUAUGCUGUGCUGUGUUUGGGUCUAUGAGUGUCUGCUUCUAAAUGCAAUAUCGAGAUUUUGACGAAAUGGUUUUCAUCCACCCGUCUUGAAACACGGACCAAGGAGUCUAACAUAUAUGCGAGUAUUUGGGUGGUAAACCCUGGUGCGUAAUGAAAGUAAAGGCAGUUUCGGCUGCUGAGGUAGGAAUCCCGCAAGGGAGGCACUAUCGACCGAUCAUCACUUGUGAAAGAUUUGAGUAAGAGCAUAUCUGUUGGGACCCGAAAGAUGGUGAUCUAUGCCUGAACAGGGUGAAGCCAGGGGAAACUCUGGUGGAAGCUCGUAGCGAUACUGACGUGCAAAUCGUUCGUCUGAUUUGGGUAUAGGGGCGAAAGACUAAUCGAACCAUCUAGUAGCUGGUUCCCUC